GUUGCAGUUAAAAGCUCGUAGUUGAACCUUGGGCCUGGCUGGCCGGUCCGCCUCACCGCGUGCACUGGUCCGGCCGGGUCUUUCCCUCUGGGGAGCCGCAUGCCCUUCACUGGGUGUGUCGGGGAACCAGGACUUUUACUUUGAAAAAAUUAGAGUGUUCAAAGCAGGCUUAUGCUCGGAUACAUUAGCAUGGAAUAAUAGAAUAGGACGUGCGGUUCUAUUUUGUUGGUUUCUAGGACCGCCGUAAUGAUUAAUAGGGACAGUCGGGGGCAUCAGUAUUCAAUUGUCAGAGGUGAAAUUCUUGGAUUUAUUGAAGACUAACUACUGCGAAAGCAUUUGCCAAGGAUGUUUUCAUUAAUCAGGAACGAAAGUUAGGGGAUCGAAGACGAUCAGAUACCGUCGUAGUCUUAACCAUAAACUAUGCCGACUAGGGAUCGGACGAUGUUAUUUUUUGACUCGUUCGGCACCUUACACGAAAGUACAAGUUUCUGGGUUCUGGGGGGAGUAUGGUCGCAAGGCUGAAACUUAAAGAAAUUGACGGAAGGGCACCACCAGGGGUGGAAUCUGCGGCUUAAUUUGACUCAACACGGGGAAACUCACCAGGUCCAGACACGAUGAGGAUUGACAGAUUGAGAGCUCUUUCUUGAUUUCGUGGGUGGUGGUGCAUGGCCGUUCUUAGUUGGUGGAGUGAUUUGUCUGCCUAAUCGCGAUAACGAACGAGACCUUAACCUGCUAAAUAGCCCGCGUUGCUUGGCAGCGCGCUGGCUUCUUAGAGGGACUAUCGGCUCAAGCCGAUGGAAGUUUGAGCAUAACAGGUCUGUGAUGCCCUUAGAUGUCUGGGCCGCACGCGCGUUACACUGAC
rnacentral:rRNA from 1 species